GCAAGUCGAACGCGAAAGUACUCCUUCGGGAGUGCGAGUAGAGUGGCGAACGGGUGAGUAACGCUUGGACGACCUACCCUCGAGUCGGGGACAACAGUUCGAAAGGACUGCUAAUACCCGAUAGUCUGUCCCGGUUACGGCCGGGCCAGUAAAGGUGAUUCCGCUCGUGGAGGGGUCCAAGUCCUAUCAGCUUGUUGGUGAGGUAACGGCUCACCAAGGCUAUGACGGGUAGCCGGACUGAGAGGUUGGCC
rnacentral:rRNA from 1 species